GACAGAGGUCCCGAGCGUUAGGCGGAAUCACUGGGCUUAAAGCGUGUGUAGGCGGAUUUGUAAGUACCUUGUGAAAUCCCACAGCUUAACUGUGGAACUGCUUGGUAUACUGCUUAUCUUGGGCCAGCUAGGGGCUACCGGAACAAGUGGUGGAGCGGUGAAAUGCGUAGAUAUCACUUGGAACGCCAAUGGUGAAAACAGGUAGCUGGGGCUGUGCCGACGCUGGAGACACGAAAGCCAGGGGAGCGAAACGGG
rnacentral:rRNA from 1 species